UACGUAGGGUGCAAGCGUUGUCCGGAAUUAUUGGGCGUAAAGAGCUCGUAGGCGGUUUGUUGCGUCGGCUGUGAAAUCCCGAGGCUCAACCUCGGGUCUGCAGUCGAUACGAGCAAACUAGAGUGUUGCAGGGGAGACUGGAAUUCCUGGUGUAGCGGUGAAAUGCGCAGGAUAUCAGGAGGAACACCGGUGGCGAAGGCGGGUCUCUGGGCAACAACUGACGCUGGAGGAGCGAAAGCCGUGGGGAGCGAACAGG
rnacentral:rRNA from 1 species